GUUCGUCUCCCCGUUCAUGAUGAUUGUAAGCGGGUGGAAGCCCCUCAUGUAUUUUAGCUUCUGUGUUCAACUAGCCUGCUCUAUAAACCCGCACUGUUAUCGCCACCGCCCAUCCGCUUUCCCAAAUCCACAGAGUCGAUAGACGGAAAAGCACCCCAAGCCCCUCCGCCCCUCCCAGGAAGAUCCGAUCCAUGGCAGAUCGGGACACUGCGGUCACGAAACCCAUAUGGAUGAAGCAGGCGGAGGAGGCCAAGCUCAAGAGCGAAGCCGAGAAGGCCGCCGCCGCGAAGGCUGCCUUCGAGGCUACCUUCAAGAACGUGGAGAAGCCCGAUGAGAAGGACGACUCCUCCGACAGCGACGGUGACGAGCGCGAGGACCUCACCAGCAAGCCCCUCGGCCCCGUUGACCCCACCAAGUGCUCCGCCGCUGGCGCCGGGAUUGCCGGAGGCAACGCCUGCGCCCCCUCCACCUUCACCGUGGUCGCCAAGGACUCCGACGGCCGGAAGAUCCCCACGGGGGGCGCCCAGCUCAAGGUGAAGAUCUCCCCUGGUGUUGGGGUCGGCGGGUCCGAUCAGGAGGGGAUGGUUAAGGAUCAGGGGGACGGGACGUACACCGUGACCUACGCGGUGCCCAAGCGCGGGAACUACAUGGUCUAUGUGGAGUGUAACGGGAAGCCGAUCAUGGGAAGCCCGUUCCCGGUGUUCUUCAGCUCUGGCGCGACCAUGGGGACCACAAGCUUGCCGGCUGCAGUGAGCCCGUUCACCAAUAUGGUCAACCAAACGAUGCCCAACAUGCCCAAUUACUCGGGUGCAGUAUCUGGGGCAUUCCCGGGGCUUCUCGGGAUGAUCCCUGGUGUCGUCCCGGGUACCUCUGGUGGAGUGGUGUUGCAGGGAAUUGGAGCAUCUUUGGGAGAGGUUUGUCAGGAGUACUUGUAUGGGCGGUGCGCUAAGACUGAUUGCAAGUUCAACCACCCACCUCAAAAUUUGUUAAUGUCGGCUCUGGCUGCGACGACUACAAUGGGGACCUUAAGUCAGGCGCCGAUGGCCCCUUCAGCAGCUGCAAUGGCUGCUGCUCAGGCAAUUGUUGCUGCAAAGGCCCUUCAGGCACAUGCUGCCCAGAUACGAGUCCAAUCAUCUGCAGAUGCACCUGGUUCACCUGACAAGGCUGCAAAGGCUGAUACUCUGAAGAAAACUCUACAAGUUAGCAAUCUUAGCCCCCUUCUUACCGUGGAUCAACUUAAACAGCUGUUUGGUUACUGCGGUACUGUUGUUGAUUGUUUCAUCACAGAUUCAAAACAUUUUGCUUAUAUAGAAUACUCUAAACCAGAAGAAGCUACUGCGGCUUUGGCACUCAACAACAUGGAUGUUGGUGGCCGUCCAUUGAAUGUUGAAAUGGCAAAGUCCCUACCUUCCAAAUCUGCUCUCGUCAACCCUUCUUUACCAUUGAUGAUGCAGCAAGCAGUUGCUAUGCAACAGAUGCAAUUUCAACAGGCCUUGAUGAUGCAACAAGCAAUAGCCUCUCAGCAGGCUGCUGCACGAGCAGCAACAAUGAAAUCUGCAACAGAGAUGGCAGCAGCCAGAGCUGCUGAAAUAAGCAAAAAAUUGAAAGCAGAAGGUUUAGGUAGCGAGGAUAAGGAAGUUAACAGAAAAUCCAGGUCACCAUCUUCCUCUCGCCAGAGAUCCAAGUCUCGGUCAAGGUCACCUAUCAAGUAUCGUAGAAGCAGGCGGUCUCGCUCUUUCUCACCAAUAAGAUGCUCCCGAGAUCGAAGGUCAAGAUCACCAGUAAGAUCGCACCAUUCAAAUCAUGGCACUGAAAGAUCAUACAGAGAUGAUUGGGACAACUACAGCAGGAGUCGAAGGCGAGAAAGAGAAAGAUCUCAUGAUCGUUUUUCCUCUCAUUCAAGAAGACACCAAAGUAGGAGUUCAAGUCCUCGAUUGAGAAAAUCCUCUCGAGCUAGUCCAACAUCACCAAAGCAUCGUAGAGAAAGUCCAAGUCCCAGAACAAAGAGAUCAUCUCGAGUUGGUUCAAGGUCACCAAGGCAUCACAGAGGAAGCAGAUCAUCUCCUGCACGUGACCAUCGGUCUUCUCACUCUAGUAGGCACUCCAGAUCAAGAUCUGCGGAGAAAAGGCAUCAUUAUGAAAAAGCAGAUGCAAAGAAAUCUGAAAGGCAGAAGGAGGAUGGUAAAAGAUCUGAUGGAAGUAACACAGCUAAUAAAAAUGCAAAAGGCACAAGGGAACCAAAGGAAGAUAAGGCUGCUGAUUCUUCUGUAGACAGUCAUAAGAGGAUCUUCUUAUUAAAUGAAGAUGAAACAUUGAAGAAUGAGAAGGGUAUUAGGAAACGUAAAAAGUCUAAACUGGAUGACCAAGGCUCUGAGAGAACUGAUUCUAUGGUAACGGAGCAAAAUCUCAUGGCAGAAGACUUGGAGAUGUAUGAAGAUAAGAGGUUUUCUAUGAUGUCAAAAUCACAUAGAAGUUCUGCAAAUGAUGAUGAUGAUAAUCAUGCUGAAAAUCAGCAUUUGACCAGGCAUAGGAAAACAAGAACAAAUUUUAAGGAACAUGGCAGAAGAGAAUGUGCUUCUAGGGAAAGGGAAUCUGCAACUGGAGAACCUAAACACUUGAGGGAUGAUAGAGCUUCACAUCAUUCAAGUUCGAGAUCUCACAGAAGUUCACACCAUUUGGGAGAAAAGUCCUCCAGGGAUAAAGUAGAUCAGCACAAACUGGAGAAACCAAAAUACAAGUAUGAAAAGCCUCGUGAAAAAUAUGAUGUCAUCAAAGAGUCUAGAACUUCAGAUGGAAGGCCAGAAAAUGUUGAGGUUUCUCAAGAGCUGAAGCCUGAUAUAUCAGGUUCAAAUUCAACUAAGGGUGGAGUGCAGGAAUCAGGGGAUCCUAGGGGAGAUAAAAUGUUACAACAGGAUAAUAGGCAUUUGGAAAGUGGUAACUCUAUGGCCAACAAACAAAAUCAUAUUGAUGGUAAUUUUGAUGGACCGAAGGAAGAUUGUAGUGUUGAUAAUUUGAAGACCCACAAGAAAAGCCCAGCAUCAGAGGGCCAUGGAAAACUUAUAAUAGGGGGAAAUGAUAAUAGCGAAGGGAAAAACUUAGAGCUGGAGCCAGGGAAGUUGGAAAGUUAUGAUUCCAUUGAGAAGAAAAAACAUUAUCAAGCAGAAGCAGCUGGCCUGAUCAACAGGUAUCAGGAUGAUAAUGGUAAUGGAUCAACAUACCUUGAAGGUGACACUUUACCUGGAAAAACGGAUCUGAACAUCAAGAAAACAGAGCUCGUUAGCUAUGGACAUGCAGGAUCGAAAAAAGAUGGCCUUACUACCUAUAUGUCGGGGUUGAAAACUUGCAGCACAAGUCUUGAAAAAACUUCAAAUGCUGGUUUGAAUGAGUUUGAAGACUUUACUGAUCAAGAGCAUAUCAAACAUGGUUUGGGUGACUCAGAAGAAAAUUUACUUGACUAUGUGUCAGAAGGAUCACAGAAAAAUAAAAUUACUGGAUACUUCUCAAAGUUUGUUGCUCAUGAGAGUUCUAUAGUGCAGGGCUCUUGUUGUUUGGGUGGAGCUUAUUCUGAUGAUAUUCCAGAAUGCUUGACUGAAGAUAGGAUGACUGCUCAUUCUCCUCCAAAUUCAACAUCACUGAGUUGAGGAUGUGCUUUGUGGAAGAAAAGCUCAAGUUGCCAUGAGACAACUUAACAUAAUAGAUCAAAAUCUAUUAUAUGAAAAAUGGAGGGAUGAAACAUUCAACUUUAGAAGCAGACUUUUUUGUUCUAUUAAGAGUUUUUCUCCUGGUAAGAUGAUAUUGAUGCAAUGUUUAGUGCUUCAAUCUGCACAUGUUUGUCCUUGCAGGUCAGGUUGGGAAAGACUUGGAACAUUUCUUGGAUCAUAUUGGAGCUAGUUGAAGUACAAUCAAGAUAUGCUUGUUUCCUGUCUGCAGUAAUGGUUUUAUAUUGUUGGAUGACUGUAUUGAAUUAGUUCCAGUGCAUAUUACAUGACAGUUGGCAUUACUCGGUUGGUGAAAUUGUGUUGUGGUUAUAUUCCUUUAUUAGGGAUUGCCUGCUGUAGACUUAUUGAAUGUUGUGCGGGGGAUGGAUGAAGCAUUACUUUUUGAGGCUGCUGUAUUAGGAGUCCGGUAUGAGUGAUCCACAUUAACUAACUGUUGGUUGUCUGAGCAAUCACAUCCUUGAGGGUCGGCAUGGCACCUGCUUGGACUGCUUGAUUUGUAUUUCAAGAUAAGCAAUGUAACUUCAUAUAUAAGCUUCCUUUCUAACCCUCUCAUUUUUCGCCAUAUUUGGUCGGUUGGCUGGAUAAAAGGUGUUAAAAGUGGAUUACCAUUGGAGCAUUUCUCAGAGCAAGUUGUCUAGGUUUUGCCUCUAAUGCAGGAAAGCUGGGAUCUGCUUCACUUGGAUAGAGAAAGAUGCAGAUAUGUUGACAAAUCUUCUCCAGAUAGUGCCUAAAAAUUGCUUGAUAGUCGACAUCCCUUGAUAUGUGCUGCAUUGGCCCAAAAGCAAUGCCUAUUUUGCUGGCUAUUUUUUCAUCUGUUUGCAUGGGUAAUAUCAUGGAUUGAAAGGAUUAAGCGCAUCACGUGUAUGCAAGCUAAGAUUUAUGUAUCCUAGCUGUUCGGUGACAAUCCGAUUUUGAAUGAUGUGGCAAGUGACUUUCUUAUAUAUUUUUUGUUAAUUGUCAUUUUUUGCUAAAAAUUGUCUAUUCUGUUAGGUGCCUUAAUCACAGAUUUAAACAUGUGCUGAUUUCAUGAAAAAAAUGUGUAAAAAUGUAAAUCAGUUUCAUCUUUGACCAUGUUGGAACAUUUGGCCAAAUCAUGAUCUGAAAGCUUUUGUUUCAAUGUUAUUUGAUGAUCUAU